rnacentral:rRNA from 1 species
GAAUCUGCCUCUAGGACGGGGACAACAGAGGGAAACUUCUGCUAAUCCCGGAUGAGCCGCAAGGUGAAAGAUUAAUCGCCCAGAGAUGAGCUCGCGUCUGAUUAGCUAGUUGGUGAGGUAAAGGCUUACCAAGGCAACGAUCAGUAGCUGGUCUGAGAGGAUGAUCAGCCACACUGGGACUGAGACACGGCCCAGACUCCUACGGGAGGCAGCAGUGGGGAAUUUUCCGCAAUGGGCGCCAGCCUGACGGAGCAAGACCGCGUGGGGGAGGAAAGCCUUUGGGUUGUAAACCCCUUUUCUCAGGGAAGAAGAAAGUGACGGUACCUGAGGAAUCAGCCUCGGCUAACUCCGUGCCAGCAGCCGCGGUAAUACGGAGGAGGCAAGCGUUAUCCGGAAUGAUUGGGCGUAAAGCGUUCGUAGGUGGCCACUCAAGUCUGCUGUCAAAGGCUGAGGCUCAACCUCAGAUCGGCAGUGGAAACUGAGUAGCUGGAGUGCGGUAGGGGCAGAGGGAAUUCCCGGUGUAGCGGUGAAAUGCGUAGAGAUCGGGAAGAACACCGGUGGCGAAAGCGCUCUGCUGGGCCGCAACUGACACUGAGGGACGAAAGCUAGGGGAGCG